ACGCAAUAAGCACUCCGCCUGGGGAGUACGGUCGCAAGACUAAAACUCAAAGGAAUUGACGGGGGCCCGCACAAGCAGCGGAGCAUGUGGUUUAAUUCGAAGCAACGCGAAGAACCUUACCAGGGCUUGACAUCUACCUAAUCCUGCAGAGAUGCGGGAGUGCCUUUCGGGGAAAGGUAAGACAGGUGGUGCAUGGUUGUCGUCAGCUCGUGUCGUGAGAUGUUGGGUUAAGUCCCGCAACGAGCGCAACCCUUGUCAUUAGUUGCUAACAGUAGAUGAGCACUCUAAUGAGACUGCCGGGGACAACUCGGAGGAAGGUGGGGAUGACGUCAAAUCAUCAUGCCCCUUAUGUCCUGGGCUACACACGUGCUACAAUGGCUGCAACAAUUAGAAGCAAAGCCGCGAGGUGGAGCAAAUCUAAAAAAGCAGUCCCA
rnacentral:rRNA from 1 species